rnacentral:rRNA from 1 species
AUUGAACGCUGGCGGCAGGCUUAACACAUGCAAGUCGAGCGAGCGGCGGACGGGUGAGUAAUGGCUGGGAAAUGGCCUGAUGGAGGGGGUUAACUACUGGAAACGGUAGCAAAUACCGCAUACCUUCAGCUGUUCCCAGGUGGGAUUAGCAAGUAGGUGGGGUAAUGGCUCACCUAGGCGACGAUCCCUAGCUGGUCUGAGAGGAUGACCAGCCACACUGGAACGGUGCCACGGUCCAGACUCCUACGGUGGUCAGCAGUGGGGAAUAUUGCACAAUGGGCGAAAGCCUGAUGCAGCCAUGCCGCGUGUGUGAAGAAGGCCUUCGGGUUGUAAAGCACUUUCAGCGAGGAGGCGUUACUCGCAGAAGAAGCACCGGCUAACUCCGUGCCAGCAGCCGCGGUAAUAC